GUAGCACCCGUACUUCUCAGUGCCGCCGCCACCGCCGGCGACCUCCCGAUGCGGCGACGCCCCCCUCUCCCUCUCCGCCUGAUGCUUGCGGAGGCAACGCAGAUUUCAUCGCCUUCGCCGGAGGCGGCGGCGCUCGCGCUGCCAUUCCCUGCCGCGGACGCGCUUCUACCUCAACCCCGACGAGCACUGCGAGCGUCUCCAGUCAGGGCACUUCCUUUCGUCUCUCCGAGGCUUCAUAUUGUGGCUCGUGACAUUACCAUGUAUCUGAAACACCUGGUAUUUCAAUUAUUUGGAUUGUGAUACUGGGAUCUCAUUAAGUCAAAGAAGACAUGAGCACCCUGCAGCUCUCUGGUCAGCUGAAGCAGACUACUUGCUUGGGUAUCUUCUCGAGCAGUUUCUGUGCCUUGUUGGUCAGACUGAUGAGACUGAUGGAAGGCUGGAAGUCAGCGUGAACAGCUUGCAUUCAGGGAUUCAGAGAAGUGACCGGAAGUCCGGAAUUGAAGCUCAAGUUCUUUCCUCCCAGCUAGAAAUGGAAUGAAGACAAUAGAUUCAGACAAGGGACUCUUUGCUGCAAUGGUGUCGAACCAGCAUGGUGUGCCUCUAUAUGUAACGAAUGAGGCAGAGGCCAUGUAUAGGUUCAUCCUAGAGACAUCAAGAUUCUCGUCGGUUAUGGAGAGUUGUGUUGCUGGCACGGGACAGAAGCCACCCAUCUCCCCGAGAAGCUGAUGCUUUUUUUAUGGUUGAUCAAUAUAAGGGGCAUCUGUAACUCUAGUCUCCAGCUGAGGCUUCUGAUCGGGCUGUCAUGUCUGGAUUAUUGGCAGCAAACUCGUGCACGAGCGUGUAGUUUGAUUUCAGAUCAAGAUCAAGAGAUCGGCGGGUGCGGGGAAACGGCGAGAAAUGAAGAGCUGGCUGCUGAUUGCUUGCUGGUGGAAGGAACAGUUGACUUAGCCUUGAAGGUUCUGGGGCCAUGCUUAUCUGAACCAAGUGCAGUUCCUGGUGGUGGAUGCCAGUCUUCAACUCUGAGAAACUUUCUUCAUUGCAUUGCAGAGGACAAGGAGCAGGGGAGGUGGCCCGAGUUCUCCCCCCACUUGCUUUGCCUGCUGAAUGUGGCAGAGGCUAACUUGGCCUCCAGGCAAGCACACAUGAUCUAUUAUGAAUGGUCCAGCAGUUCUCUGUUUCGCAUACCAUGACAUACUGUUUCAAUGGUCAGGGAUGGCGAAGAGUAGAGACCUAGUCCAUUGGAGUGAGGGCUGGAAGGCACGCUGGCUGACCUUCCAUGCUUGGGGCAGAAGCUGCAGUGCUAUUUUUUCAGAUGGAAAGGAAGAGAGGAGGAACUUUGCUCUAAUGGUGUCUACCCCAGCAUGCACAUUUUGGUACCCUCAUAAAUAGUGCAGAAGUAGAAGAGCCUACAGACAUCUUGUCAGUUGAGGUCCUGAGAGUUUGUCCCCCAUCCUCAAGGCAAGUAAUAUGCCGCUCUGCUGCCAUCUUAUCAUUUCAUACAUGUAUGAAUGAGUAUAUGGGCCUGUCAUGUCUAAAUUAUCAGAGGCAAAAUCACACACGAGGACCAGCUUUUGUGUUAUUUCUAGAUAGCUUGAUCAUGUACAUGAUGACUUGUUGCUGGUAUUGUACAGCCUUGUCUUAGUUGUCAGUGGCAAACUCAUCUGCAUGAGGGGGUGGUUGGUGCUUGCUGGUGCGUUGUGCUAUCUUGUUCCGCUAACAGCCUUUUGUCCAUUGGCGUUCCAAUCUUACAACCAAGCUCAUGCCAGUCAUCUCCUUGCUGUCAUCAGAGGUCUGUAUCUUCUCUCUUGGGAUCCUUCCCCAAGAUCCAUUGAGUACUGCUAGGUGUUCAAGUGCACAAACUUUUGUGGCUCAAAAUGCUUACAUUUUCUGCAAAUUGAUAUUAAGCAUAUAUCGUCGCCAUUGAGUGACAAGGUUAUUUUAAGACCUGGAACCAUGUUUCUUGGACAAAUAAUAUUUUGAUAAAUUUCAGCACGAAGUCUUACAGCAUGAGAUCUUUUUUAGUGAAUAUAGUGGUAAUGGAUUUUACUGGCAUUUGUACACAAUGUAAGA